rnacentral:lncRNA from 1 species
UGAGGAUUCAACAGCAAGGACAACAGGCACAGAAGCGGCUCUGGGGACGGAGCCCGGCUCACCGGCUUGGCAGGGAGACUGCGGAGAACCUGAAGAUGGUCUGGUCUGUCUUGUUGAUGGCGUCUCAGACGGUAGGGGGACACUGAAUGGGACAUCAAUGAGAACAUUUACCCAGUGUCUUCAUGUGCCAUGCCCUGUCCUAAGCCAUUACGUGAACUGGCUCCUUUCAUCCUCAUAGAAAGUCCAGGAAGAAAAUAUGAUUAUGCCUAUUCUACAGAUGAGGAAACUGAGGCACAGAGGGGUGGCAAAGUAGCAGCUCCACAGCUUGCAAAGGACAGAACUGAGAUUCGAACCUAGGCACGCUGCCUCCAGAGCCCCAGCUUUACCCUAGACCAGUGGGUCUCAGAGGUGGUGGGGUGUGUAGGUAUUUUGACCCCAAAGGACAUUGGGCAAUGUUUGCAGACAUUGCCAGUUGUCACAACUUGGCGAGUGCCAAGGAUGCUGCUAAAUCUCCUACAAUGCACAGGACAGGUCCCCACCCCGAAUUAUUCAGCCCCAAAUGUCAAUAGCGUGGCUGCUAAGAAACCCUGUUCUAG